AGUCCUUAUAUGGCGGAUAGAGGCUCAGUGGCACCGUCAGGGGAGCUGGUAAACAGAGUGCCGGACUCCACGGACAGGACGGGGCUUGGGUUGCUCUUAAAGGCGACAUAACCAGAUUUUCUUGAAGUAAGGUCUAGGAUACUCACAGAAAUGUGAGGGACCUAUGAUAUCGGAUUGUGAAGCACAGCAAGUUCUCAACGGCUACACCGCCAAAGGGACACACUAUACCACAAAGGCACUCUGUCUCUACUCAUGCCUCUCAGCCAUAUGUUGCUUUUCAAAUACACAUACAGUUAAACUUUGACUUCUAUUUAUUAAGCUUCAAUAUGGUUGGUCCAAGAGAACAAAGAAAGACUACAUGGCUGGGAAUUUGCACAAAAGAAGACAGGAGAUACCGACGUAGAUUGAAAGGGUGACGCUGUGCCUCUGGAUCCAGAAGAAAACAUCAUUACUGUCUGUAGAGUCAGUGAUUGUGUUCCUACCAAGAGUGCAAUGCUUUUAUUCUAAUAAUACUUAUUACUUCAUGUCUGAAAUAUUUUACAUUUAUUUUAAAAGUCUCAAUCCUGUCUGAAAAUGAGAGUGACUGAUACAUGCCAUUUCCUGACAGGACAUUUUGUGCCAUUCCAUAGUUGGAGUAUAUGUACACAGGGAACGUAUUAUCCCCAAUAAAAACUGUGAACUUUCAUGAUCUUAUCUCCUUCCUGAGAAGUGAGUUAUCAUU
rnacentral:lncRNA from 1 species